rnacentral:lncRNA from 1 species
AGCAGGAGGAAAAGAACAUGGGAAUGAAGGACCAGCUGCGUGGCAAGGUGCAGGCUGAUCUUGAGCGCUUGGCUUCAGAGUGCAGGGAUAUGACCUCAUUGCUUCGCCGCCUCCAGAUUCCUGUCGAAGGUGGUAAAUAUCCAUCUGCGCAACAGGUAAGACAUAGAUGAUUUAAAAAUAUACUGAGCACGUAAGUCUGUCAACAACAAGAUGUGGACACUUAAGCACUCCCUUGAAGUCGGCUGCUUUUCUACUUUUUCUUUUACUCUUUGAAGCCAUACCAUGAGCUUGGUGCUUAAAGCUUCUCAUCUCCUGCACUUAGGGACGCGGGGCUACUGAUGCAACUUCAGACGAUGAUUCAUAUAUAUAUAUAUAUAUAUAUAUAUAUAUCUAUAUUGGCCAUGUGGAUUAAAUUACCUGAUUGACUCUGGCAGGUUAAUGCAGCCUACAAGAAGGCCCUUCUUAGAUUUCAUCCUGAUCGAACCUCUGCAAUUGCUCAAGGUGAUCCUAAGCGUCAAGUGGAAGCCGAGGAGACAUUUAAGCUCAUCACUCGUAUGA